rnacentral:rRNA from 1 species
AACGAACGCUGGCGGCAGGCUUAAUACAUGCAAGUCGAGGGGCAGCAGGUCUGUAGCAAUACAGAUGCUGGCGACCGGCAAACGGGUGCGUAACACGUACGCAACCUUCCCGUUACUGGGGAAUAGCCCAGGGAAACUUGGAUUAAUACCCCAUAUUAUAUUGGUUGGGCAUCCGACUGAUAUCAAAGUUUUAACGGUAACGGAUGGGCGUGCGUUUGAUUAGGUAGUUGGCGGGGUAACGGCCCACCAAGCCUACGAUCAAUAGCUGAUGUGAGAGCAUGAUCAGCCACACGGGCACUGAGACACGGGCCCGACUCCUACGGGAGGCAGCAGUAAGGAAUAUUGGGCAAUGGACGCAAGUCUGACCCAGCCAUGCCGCGUGAAGGAUGAAGGUCCUCUGGAUUGUAAACUUCUUUUAUCUGGGGCGAAAAUCGGGUAUUCUUAUCCGCUUGACAGUACCAGAGGAAUAAGCACCGGCUAACUCCGUGCCAGCAGCCGCCGUAACAC